GGAUAAUCUCAUCAGGGCAAUGAGCGCCAUGUGCUCCUGAAAAACACAUUCAUAGCCUCUGCAGCCGGUCCAGAAUACACAUUACUGUGAGUUUAUUGCUGUGGAGCUCUGUUAUACCCUUAUACACACUGCACAUUACUGUGAGUUUUAUUGCUGUGGAGCUCUGUGAUACCCUUAUGCACAUUGCACAUUACUGUGAGUUUUAUUGAUGUGGAGCUCUGUGAUACCCUUAUGCA